GCAGAAGUAACAUUCCUUUGAACACUCAGCUUUCUGAAAUGGUGUCCCACCGCAAGGACUGGAGAAGGGCUGGAGUCCAAUGGUGCGAUGUCUGCUUACUGCAACCUCUGCCUCCCGGGUUCAAGCGAUUCUCCUGUCUCAGCCUCCUGAGGAGAUGGGACUACAGGUGUGCACCACCAUGCACAGCGAAUUUUUGUAUUUUUAGUAGAGAUGGGGUUUCACUAUGUUGGCCAGGAUGGUCUCGAUUCCUUGACCUCGUGACCCACCUGCCUCAGCCUCCCAAAGUGCUGGGAUUACAGGCGUGAGCCACUGUGCCCGGCCAGUAGUAUGUAUUCUUGUAUUUGACAUUCAAGAAUAAUAGGAAAAUAUGUACAGAAAGUGAAAAGGAAAGAGAAUAUUUGGAUAUCUGUGGUGUGUACAGAAAGUAUAAUGAGGCAAGAAUACCAUACGAAGAAAUGGAAGAUUCUCAAGGAGAGGGCACCCUUGGAAAUGCAAUGCUACAUCUCAAUGGGAUUUUCCAGUACAAAGAUUCUUUUCAAAUAACAUAAUUGUGGAUACACACCACUCCUACAGUGACACAAAGCAAAUUCGAGCGAUUUUCUUAUUUGAGUUCAAAAUGGGCUGUAAAGCAGUGGAGACAACUCGCAACAUCAACAAUCCAUUUGGCCCAGGAACUGCUAAUGAAUGUACAGUGGAGUGGUGGUUCAAGAAGUCUGGCAAAGGAGAUGAGAGCCUUGAAGAUGAGGAGUGUAGUGGCUGACCAUUGGAAAUUGACAACAACCAAUUAAGAGCGGUCAUCAAAGCUGAUCCUCUUACAAUGACACAAGAAGUUGCCAAAGAACUCAAUGUUGACCAUUCUUUGGUCAUUCAGCAUUUGAAGCAAAUUGGGAAGGUGAAAAAGCUUGAUGAGUGGGUGCCUCAUGAGCUGAGCGAAAAUUUUUUUAAAAAUCAUUGUUUUGAAGCGUUGUCUUCUCUUAUUCUACGCAACAACAGUGAACCAUUUCUCUAUCAGAUUGUGAUGUGCAAGGAAAAGUGGAUUUUAUAUGACAAUUGGUGAUGCCCAGCUCAGUGGUUGGACAGAGAAGAAACUCCAAAGCACUUCCCAAAACCAAACUUGCACCAAAAAAAGGUCAUGGUCACCAUUUGGUGGUCUGCUGCCGGUGUAAUCGACUACAGCUUUCUGAACCCCAGCAAAUCAUUACGUCUGAAAAGUAUGCUCAGCAAAUUGAUGAGAUGUACUGAAAACUGCAAUGCCUGCAGCCGGCAUUGGUCAACAGAAAGGGCCCAACUCUUUACAACAACUCUCGACCACAUGUCGCACAACCAACACUUCAAAAGUUGAAUGAAUUGGGCUAUGAAGUUUUGACUUAUCUGUCAUUCACCUGACCUCCUGCCAACUGACUACCACAUCUUCAAUCAUCUCGACAGAUUUUUGCAGGGAAAAAGCUUCUACGAUCAUCAGGAUGCAGAAAAUGCUUUCCAAGAGUUCAUCAAAUCCCAAAGCAUGGAUUUUUAUGUUACAGGAAUAAACAAACUUAUUUCUCAUUGGUAAAAAUAUGUUGAUUGUAAUGGUUCCUAUUUUGAUUAAUAAAGAUGUGUUUGAGCCUAAUAA
ensembl:lncRNA TEX41 testis expressed 41